rnacentral:rRNA from 1 species
CGGCGGACGGGUGAGUAACACGUGGAUAACCUACCUAUAAGACUGGGAUAACUUCGGGAAACCGGAGCUAAUACCGGAUAAUAUUUUGAACCGCAUGGUUCAAAAGUGAAAGACGGUCUUGCUGUCACUUAUAGAUGGAUCCGCGCUGCAUUAGCUAGUUGGUAAGGUAACGGCUUACCAAGGCAACGAUGCAUAGCCGACCUGAGAGGGUGAUCGGCACACUGGAACUGAGACACGGUCCAG